AAAGUGGGAACCUCUAGGGCGCCGCCCUGUUGCUACUGGUCAAUGUGGCCAGCGCAAUUACUAUUGAAAGAGCUGAGAACAAGUACAGGUCACCUUAUGCUUUGUCACCUAAAAACGCAUACCUGAUGGCUUUAUGAAGGUGGUACGUUAAUAUUAAGUUUACAGAAAGCGAUCGCUAAGUCCGUGACUUAUGUAAAUCACGAUGUACGCAUUCAUGCAAUAAAGGAUGACGCGAAUUUCGGUUUCGAAUCUGUUUUUUGGAUGCGUAGUAGUUUCGUUUGACAUGCGAUCGCGCGUCGACAUCGGACGCUAUGACACACUCGUGCCUUAUGUGCCACCGAAGCCCCGAAGUGGUCUGGCAUAUACCUUCACAUAUAUGCAAUGGCAAGCCCUUCCGUGUGUUCCAAAGACAAUGCCUACGCCUAGCCACAGCAGCUCCCUCAUACAGACUCCACAAACCAAGAGGCCGUGGAGGCAAAUGCAGGCAGCCAGCACACCUCGAACAGCCACCUUGACUGCGGGUGUGUCACCCUAGUCGCGAAGGAAACAUUUGAGGGAAAGUGACAGGCAAUGUGAACAGCCACUUCUCCAUGUAAACAAUACUCUUUCUCUCGGAUGACUCCUACGCCUCACCACGCCAGCACACUUGUGCACAAAGAUGCCGCAGAGGCAUGUGCAGGUCAGAGGCAAGAAGCAGUGGCACUGGUGUCGACAUUUAGCCAAUUUCUUUUUCUUACACUGAGGCAGCCAGCACACCUCGAACAGCCACCUUGACUGCGGGUGUGUUAGUUGAUUCCUGUUGUACAUAUGCUCAUAAUAAACUUCAGUAAACUUGAACUUCAUAAUAAACUUGAAGGCAAAUGGGACAUUGAUGCAUUGUAUUUUUGAACAUUUAUUGUACACAUACAAUAUAUGUUAU